UUAUUUUGUGCUUUUUAUUCACAGAUUCUUUUUUAUAUGAAGAAAAUAUAAUACCAUUUUUAAAUGAAUAGUCAGGAAUUCUAGAAAUCACAUUUAUUGAGAUGAAGCACUUAAUAUUAUUAAGAAAAAACAGGUUUUCUAAAUAAUUUUGAAUCCAGUAUUUGUUAUUUAUGAUAUGCGUGCUUUAUAUAUGAAAUCAAACCAUGUUCCCUCGCACUCGGAAUGUUCACGCCUGUUGCAUGGUGGCGGUGCAUUCUGUUCUUGUCAGAACGGAAGCCUGUCACAACAGCAUCUUAAGGUUGGCUUUUGAAUAAAGUAUUUGCAAUCUUUUAAUUUUAGCUAAUCAAAAUACUACUAAAUAAGCUGUAUUCCUGAUCUGAUCAUGCAAACCAAAAGUCGGUCGAUUACAUCACGUCAAAAGCAUAUGCAUUCGGGGAUUUUUGGCCACUUGUUGUAGAAGUAUGGAGGAGUCAAUAUUAAAUAAGUAUAAAAAUAAUUAAUUAAUUAAAUAAAUACAUUCUUUUAAGUGGCACAAUAAUAUGAAAUAUUUUUUAUAGUGCAACUUUUAAAAUAUGUAUGCUAUUUAAUAAUAAUAUAUUGUAUUUCCAAAAGGCUUUUUGAAUAAAAGGAUCCAUUUUGUAAUAUCAUGGCCUAAUUCAUAAUUUCAAGUUCAAGACAUUUCAUUAUUUCAUGGCGUAUUUGAUCACGUAAUGUUUAGCCACUGAUUGGUCAAACUUUUUGCGUUGGCCGUCUGCAAAAGAUAAAGCUCAUUUCAGCCACAGAUUUCGCUGCAGGUCUUCUAUUUCGAAAGUGUUUUAAAAAAUGAAAGGAGUGCCUCCGCCACCUCUGACCAACUCUCCUCCCUCCAUCCCCUUCCCUCCCCUGUUAAAGGUUCGACUCAACCUCCUGUUGAACACAUCUCUCUCCCUGGGUCAUCUCUCGAGCACACCUACCCAGCGAAUACCUCAACAGGGGUGUUCCAUCCUGCUUGUCUGGUCAUGGAGACACCAGCCCAGAGGACAUAACAGUCAUUCAACAGCCUUUUCAGGACCACUCUUACCCAAGGCCCCAGAUCGCAGCAGCCCGUGGCCAGGUUCUUCGCAGGACCCACUCAGACACCCCACUGUUUCUGAAAAAAAAGACCCAGAGGGACAGAGGAGAAUGCAGGGACCUUGUCGACUUGGAACUGCUUGGGUAAACCACAUCAUCUGGCAAAAUAAUGUUCAACUGCUAAAUUGUUUAGAUAAAUGUCAGGUAUAU
rnacentral:lncRNA from 1 species